AACACAUUAAUUGAUUAACACUGUCAAUUAGUUUAUCGUACGUUAAAAUACUUUUUAUUUUGAAAGUAUAUUGCUCACUGCGUUUGAAUACACAUAGAUAGACUGUAAUAAUACAACCGAAUACAACACAAACUGUGGGUCACAGGAGAGGUGGGAUGUUUAUCAGUAGGCUACUGGCUGCUUGGGAUGAGCGUCAUCAAACCUUUAAACCUCUUCCACACAGUGGAGUUGAUAGAACUAAAGCUAUUUGUAACCACUGCAAAGCUGAAUUGUCUUAUCAUCGGAGUACUUCGAGUUUGAAGUAUCACUUAAAUGCAAUGCACACCGUUGAUGCCAGCAAAUAAAAAAAAAUGCCCAAACAAACAGUGGAGGAAGGCUUCGGCAGACUACAUAGGAUGCAGCAUCUGGGAGAACUAUAGAUAAACAAAAGAAAGGCAAGCUAACAAAUGCCAUUGCGAAGUGGGUAGCUACAAACUGCAGGCCGAUUAGUAUUGUGGAAGAUGUCGGUCUGAAGAAUGUUAUUAGGAUCGCAACGAAUGACUGCACGUAUGAGCCUCUGCCUAGACGAACCAUCGCGCAUUACAACAUGCACCAACUGUUGCCCUCACCGGAGACUACUGGACAUCGCUGGGUAACCAUAAUUACCUCGGAGUUACUGUGCAUUACAUUGAUGAACAAUGGGAACUGCAUUCACAUGCUCUGACUGUAAUGAAGACACAAGAGAGACAUUUUGCUGAAACGUGCGCUGAACAUUUUAUUCAUGUUGCACAGCAGUGGGACGUUUCAAAUAAAGUCAGCACACUUAGCACAGAUAGUGCAAGAAAUAUGAUCGCUGCUGUGAUACAUCUGCCUUUUAAACACGUCCCCUGAGUCGCGCACAGUCUCCAGCGUUCUGUCACAGUAUCUCUGCACAACAGCGCGUUUGAUAACGUCCUGGCCAAAUACAGAAAGGUUGUGGGCCAUUUUAAGCACAGUCCAGUGAGUGCUGCAGAAUUAGAACAAAAACAAAUUGAACUUGGACAAAAGAAGGAGUCGCUUAUACAAGACAUUCCAACCAGAUGGAAUUCGACUCUGGACAUAAUAAAAAGUGUCCGCAGAAACGAACACACACUGAGGGAUGUCCUCACCACACACAACACGAAGAUUGCCAUGCCAACAACAGCUGGACAAACUGCAGAGGUUGGAAAUGCUACUGGAGCCCUGCAGGUAUGUGACUGAACUUCUGGGUGGAGAAAAAUAUGUUUCAUGCUCUGUGGUUCUGCCUGCUUUUUGCCAUCUCUCUCGGGAUGAUGACCCUGCCUAUGUGGCCUAUGUGGUCAAUUUCAAGUCUACCUUCAGAACAGACCUGGAGACACGCAAGGAAAAUGCCAAUAUUGCAUUUCUGAAGAUUGCAACUGCAUUGGGCCCUGAGAUUCAAGGACCUCAAGUGUAUACCCAGAGCUGAGAGAGGUGAGGUGUGGGCCUCAGUCACUAACUUAGUCACUAACACAGGGUUGUUGCAGAGGAACCUGUGGAAGCAACAACAUCAAAGCCAUCAAAGAGAAAGUUUGCCCUAUUGGCUGCUUCAUCAGAAUCUGAUACUGAACACGACCUUCAGUUCAGUCAGGACCACCUCGUAAAUGAAGGUUAGCGAGCAUACAGUUACUGUUGGCGGAAUGGUUCUGUUCUGGGAGAAUUUUCCCAGGGAGGCAGCGCUGGGGAAUGAAUAGACCCCCCCAUUACAGCUCAGAAUCAGAACCAAAAUUGCGCGAGGUGUGAAUUUUUUCUACGUGAAGAAUUUAAUUGCCGCUGGUAACAGGUUCUGGCUGGAGGAGUCGGGGACGGAGGAGGGUGUUGGAAUCGCAGCAGUGGUGAUGCACAGGUGCGCUCGAAGGCGAGGAUUUAAAGGAGGGAAAUUACAAAAGUCGUGCUGGAUUGGUGCGCCUUGUGGACAGCUGAUUAGCAGCUGAUGCAGCUUACUGCGUGGCCUGCCUGAAAUAACGCGAUGCUUGAUUCUAGUUUGUUAUCUCUUUUCUGCCCUUUGGUGUUUUUUUUUGUACUUGUCAUGUGUUUCAGGAAGGCAGUUCCAGAGUAAAUAGGAGAAAGGCUCCCAUUGGUUGUGAUCUCCACCUGUUCCACAUAAAACGACGGCCUGGAUCCCUGAUUUAGGAAAAGCUGCUUUUGUUUGGGCCUGCUUUUGUUUUUGCUGCUUUGCUCUUUGUUGUUUUGCUCUUUGUCUUUCGUGCAAUUGUGUUUGCUUUGUUUGUGUUGCUUUGUGUAUUUGUAUGUUAUAUUCCUUGAAUGUUUACCCAUUUCAGUAAUUUGUGAUUGUCUCGUCUUAGAUAGGAAGUUUGUGUUCCUAGUGUGUUGCGCCUUUGAGUUUUGUUUUGUCUUGGUUUACUGUAUGUUUGUUGUUUCAUCUGAUUGAUUGAUUUGUUUGUGCUUGACCCAUGCCUGAUAUACGACUACGAUUAUGGGCUCUGUUUUUGACUAGUUAGCCACUAGAUUUAAUUAUACACCUUUGCCUAUAACAUAUUGACAAGGUAUGUAUGGGGAGCGACGCCAUUUAUUUUGGAAACUUUUAUUAUAUUGUUUUUCUGAGAGGGAGUUAGGGAAGAAGUAUGUAUUUUAUUUUCUUUCAUUUUUUUUAGUUAGUAAGAGGUGUUUGGUGACGUUUGUUCUGUUAAUUAUUUUUGCCUUGUCCUCCCCUGAAGCCUAAAACCCCUUGUCAACACUUCAAUAAAAGAUUGUGAAUUAUAA